GUAACCGUAGGGAACCUGCGGUUGGAUCACCUCCUUACC
rnacentral:rRNA from 1 species